CUAGAAGAGGCACAAAGAAGGUAACGAGACACCCCACUUCCUCCGCAGAGGGCUGGCGAUGCUCAUCAGUGACACACCGGCUCGGAAGUUAGCUCCAGGGCCCGGCACUGCGGGCACACCCCCCAGGUCGGGCACGUCCCCACGUCCCCAC